rnacentral:rRNA from 1 species
GCUCGUCUCAAAGAUUAAGCCAUGCAUGUGUAAGUAUAAAUAAUUCUACUUUGAAACUGCGAAUGGCUCAUUAUAUCAGUUAUAGUUUAUUAGAAAUAGUGUACUACUUGGAUAACCGUAGUAAUUCUAGGGCUAAUACAUGAGUAAAUCCUUGACUUUUGAAGAGGUGUGUUUAUUAGUAUGAAAACCAUAUGCUUUUGCAUGAUAGUGAGUAAUAAUAACCUUUCAUAUCGCCUGUUUUAAAUAGCGAUAGUUCUUUCAAGUUUCUGCCCUAUCAGCUUUCGAUGGUAGUGUAUUGGACUACCAUGGCAGUAACGGGUAACGAAGAAUUUGGGUUCGAUUUCGGAGAGGGAGCCUGAGAGAUGGCUACCACAUCCAAGGAAGGCAGCAGGCGCGUAAAUUACCCAAUCCUGACAUAGGGAGGUAGUGACAAUAAAUCACAAUGCGGGACUAUUUAGUUUUGCAAUUGAAUUGAGAACAAUGUACAAGAGUUAUCGAUAAACAAUUGGAGGGCAAGUCUGGUGCCAGCAGCCGCGGUAAU